rnacentral:snoRNA from 1 species
AAAGAUAAAGUUUCCAAUUCCCUUAGUCUCCAAAAAGCAUAGAUAGAUUUUUUUAAUUACACCAGUUUGAAUCGGUUCUUCUCCUUUUUUUAAGUUGGAUUGAUAUAGAAGUGUGUGAACAUUC